CAUCACUUUCCAGUACGAUCACCGAAGUUAAGCAAUAUCGAGCCUGGUCAGUACCUAAAUUGGUAACCUCUUGGGAAUACUAGGUACUGUAAG